rnacentral:tRNA from 1 species
AUUGAAUUAGUUUAUAGAAAAAUAAGGAAUUGUGGAUUCCUGGAACCUUUAUAGUAGGAUUCAAUC